rnacentral:rRNA from 1 species
UCCCUGAUGUUAGCGGCGGACGGGUGAGUAACACGUGGGUAACCUGCCUGUAAGACUGGGAUAACUCCGGGAAACCGGGGCUAAUACCGGAUGGUUGUUUGAACCGCAUGGUUCAGACAUAAAAGGUGGCUUCGGCUACCACUUACAGAUGGACCCGCGGCGCAUUAGCUAGUUGGUGAGGUAACGGCUCACCAAGGCGACGAUGCGUAGCCGACCUGAGAGGGUGAUCGGCCACACUGGGACUGAGACACGGCCCAGACUCCUACGGGAGGCAGCAGUAGGGAAUCUUCCGCAAUGGACGAAAGUCUGACGGAGCAACGCCGCGUGAGUGAUGAAGGUUUUCGGAUCGUAAAGCUCUGUUGUUAGGGAAGAACAAGUGCCGUUCAAAUAGGGCGGCACCUUGACGGUACCUAACCAGAAAGCCACGGCUAACUACGUGCCAGCAGCCGCGGUAAUACGUAGGUGGCAAGCGUUGUCCGGAAUUAUUGGGCGUAAAGGGCUCGCAGGCGGUUUCUUAAGUCUGAUGUGAAAGCCCCCGGCUCAACCGGGGAGGGUCAUUGGAAACUGGGGAACUUGAGUGCAGAAGAGGAGAGUGGAAUUCCACGUGUAGCGGUGAAAUG